ACUUAUCGGGUUUUAUUUUUUUGUUUAUCUCUAUUUUUUUCCGGGACUGCUCUUUUGAGUUUUCAGCCCACCGGGAUGCACUAUUUUUUUUCCUAAGCCUCCCUUUGGGGUUUUUGAAUUAGCGGGCUUUUUUAUCCUCUUUUUCUAUGCAUACUAUUUCUUGACUGCUUCGGAGUUCAAAAUAGUGGAAACUCCUCUCCAUCCAUGGUUGUAAUGAUCCAGGUUCCACCAGAGAAGGCCUUCUUC
rnacentral:lncRNA from 1 species